rnacentral:misc_RNA from 1 species
GGGGACGAGCGAGAGCGGAUUGAAUUCGAUGGUUCUGGCUAACAAUGAGGAAAUGGUUUUGCUACCAUUGAACGAGCCAGUUUUCGGGACAAAGAGAAAGAGCCAAAUACAGACAUAUUUGGAGCACAACGAAGGAGCAGGAGUUCAGCACUUGGCAUUGAUGAGUGAGGAUAUUUUCAGAACCUUGAGGGAGAUGAGGAAGCGAAGUGGCGUUGGUGGAUUUGAGUUCAUGCCGUCGCCGCCGCCGACAUAUUACAAGAAUUUGAAGAGCAGAGCGGGAGAUGUGCUGACGGACGAGCAGAUUAAGGAGUGUGAAGAAUUGGGGAUUCUGGUGGAUAGAGAUGAUCAAGGAACUUUGCUUCAGAUCUUCACCAAACCUGUGGGAGAUAGGCCUACCAUAUUUAUUGAGAUAAUUCAGAGAGUGGGAUGCAUGAUGAAGGAUGAAGAUGGGAAAGUAUAUCAGAAAGGAGGGUGUGGUGGCUUUGGAAAAGGAAACUUUUCAGAGCUCUUCAAAUCCAUUGAGGAAUAUGAGAAGACUCUUGAAGCCAAACGAGUUACAGAACCAGCUGCUGUUUAAGAAUCAAAAUCCAUUCAGUCUAACAUCAAAGCCAAACUAGUAAGGUACUUCUUUUAUACUUCUACUAAAAGCAAGGAGCAACAGGAAACCCAAUGAAAGCCAUUUAUCAGCUUCAUGAGUUCUCUAUGUAGUUUCUAAUGUUUCUUUAUAUGCCUCAUCUUAGUAAUUA